AGUAAAUUUUUAUUUUGAAAUUAAAAAUAUUUAUUUUGUAUUGGGGAUUUGCUUUAAAAAUUAUUUAUAUAUAAAUUUUAUUUUAGAUGAAGUGUUUUGUAGUAUAUAAAAUUAAAUAUGAAUUAUAGUUUGAUUUAGAAAUUUUUUUUAGAAUGGACAUAGUUUGUGCCAGCCGUAGCGGUUAUACAAACCAUUCAGGUUAAUUGGGUUGAGUUCAAUUAGGUGUAAUUAUUUUUAUAAUAAAAAUGAAUUUUUUAGGUGAAAUUUUAAAUUUAUUUUAUUUAUUGAUUGUUGAUUUGAGAAAUUUUUAUUUAAACUAGGAUUAGAUACCCUAUUAUUUAAAAUGUAAUUCUUUGCUUAAAUUAUUAUUAGUUAAGUUCUUUAAAAUUAAAAAAUUUGGCGGUAUUUUAGUCUUUUCAGAGGAACCUGUUUUUGAAUUGAUGGUCCACGAUUAUAUUUACUUUUAUUUUUAAUUUAUAUAUCAUCGUUUAUAAAAAUUUUAUGAGAAUAUGAAUUUUUUUUUAUUUAAUUAGAUUAUAUUUCAGAUCAAGGUGUAGUUUAUAUAAAAGUUAAAAUGGGUUACAUUGUUAUUAAAUUUGGAUUAUUAUUUUAUAAUUAAUAAUAAAUUGGAUUUGAAAGUAAAUUGUUUUAUUUAAGAUGAUUGAUUAAGCUCUAAAAUAUGUACAUAUCGCCCGUCGCUUUCGUUAUAAAAUGAAAUAAGUCGUAACAAAGUAGAUUUAUUGGAAAAUGAAUCUAGAAUGA
rnacentral:ncRNA from 1 species